rnacentral:lncRNA from 1 species
UUAAAUAUAAAUUUUGUAAUUUAUUAAGAUUAAUUUUGUAAUUAGCCGUUUUUAAAUUUAACAUAUGUGCGGUAUAUAGGAAAUUGAGAUUUCCAGAUAUUAUUAUGGAGAUAUUUAACUUUUGUGGAACUAAUUUGAUACGGUCUUAUCUAAUCUUUGUUGUCUGGAAGCAUGCCACCUAAAAUCUUAUAUGAUUUUGAUCCAUUCUUAUCUAAUCGUCGCGUUUAAGGUAGUAUUAA